UUUUUAUACAAUUGAAAAGGCUGUCACAAUUUUCUCAGACAUCGUCCAGCAAUAAAAGUUUAUUGUUUUCAGUAUUUGGAAACCGAUUUAUUACGUAAAACUCCUUCAAUUUCAAUUUCAAACCGUUUCUUCGCAGUGCAGUGCUUUGAGGUAAUCGAAAAUUAAUUUCCUAAAAAUUGAGUCGGUCAGAGUAUUGACUGAUUGGCAAACACCAAAGUAAGAUAACAGGAAAUUAUUCCAAUGCCAUACGUCUUGAUUCGUGGUAAUCUAGCUUCAUAUAGCUCAAAAUAUCCUUGGCGAGUGCUUGUUUCAGGACUCAGAGUUACUCGGCUAUAGUGUCGUUGCAUCCUCAUCAACGCCAGUGAAACAGGACUACAACGAGUACAUGUGGACGAUGCGAAGAGAUUUUCCCGGUCAGCAAUUCAGCCCCGACUCAGCGUCAUUAGUUGAUCGUGAUAACAUUUCGAAUGUUGGUCGAGAAGCGUUAGCCACAUCGAAAAAUAAGAGUGACGCGUGAACAGUGCAAUAGUACGGCGCGAACAUACAGACAUUAUUUUACCGCAACUAAAUUUUAUCGAAACAAAAAACCCAAAAAUUAAAUUAAAUUUACAAACAAAGUGAAAUUAAAAUCGAGUCCAAUGGCUGACACGGCACCACCACAUCAAAAUGUUGUCACAGUGGCUGUGCCUCCAGUUGAAGGAACGUAUUUAUAUGUUGCUGUCAAGGGAUCAUUACAUGCUACCGACUCAUCAGUAUUUGGAUUAGAUCGCGACGAAGCGGCUGCAUUGGCGAAACGAUUUUCUAACACAUCGAUUGGAAUCGUGAACGGAGUAUCGAUCAAGGGCAGCCCAAUGGCUGUUAUUAAUUCGUUGGGUCAGUUGGGCUAUAAAGUGGUUUGUUCGACUGGUGAAACAGAAGUUAUAUGGACAUUGGCACGCGAAGUUUAAAGUUCCGUUGUCGAUAAUUUGCAAAUGUUAAGUGGCUUUCUGGACUAAAAUUUUUUUCGUUUUCUUUUUUUAUCGUAAAAUUAAUUUUUCCGGUUUCUAAUUGCGUUGGAUUUCUUAGUCAUUAUUAUUUUUUAAACUAAAAUCAGCAUUUCGUAUUCUUCUAACGCAAUUUGUUAAAAAGCUCUUGUAAAAACUAAAAUAAAAUCUAAAAAAAAAAUGAGUGAACAUAAACAUGAGAAUGGUGUCUGCAAAUGUAAAUCAAGUGUCGCCGCCCAGUCGUUAACUGAAAUGGAUUUUGAUCGAGGAAUUUGGUCUGCUGCUUUAUACAACGACAUUGCCCGCUUAAAAGAACUAAUAAACCGAGAACAUACAAACAAUCAAGAUGAAACUGGCUACACUGCCCUACAUUAUGCAGCUCGUAACAAUAACAUCACGGCCUGUCAACUAUUAAUUGAAGCAAACGCAAAUGUUAAUGCAGAAACAAAGGGUGGUGUAACUCCACUUCAACGAGCUGCAAUGAUGGGUCACUUGGACGUGGUUAAGCUUUUGCUGAGCCACCGAGCCAACGUUACGGUUCAAGAUAGUGAUGGAAAUACGGCGGCACAUCGGGCGGGUCAAAAUGGACAUAGUAAUAUUGUUGAAUUAUUGAUUAAAAGUGAUAAGAAUCUUGAAAAAUGUUUGAAUAAUAGGGGGCAGACACCAUUAGAUGUUAACGGAAAGUAAAUUUUAAUUUAGUCAGCAGACUCAGUUUGCCAGGUUUAUUUCUAAUUUCAAUUUAUAAAAAUUAUUAUACCGUCGAUGUUCAUGCGUAAUAAUUUGGUUUUUGAAAUCAUUGAAUAAAUUAUUACGUUUCCUCUUCGAGUAUAACCUUUAUGUUCGAGUCAUAGAAAAUUAAAUUUUUGAAAAUUUUGAGAUUAUAUUGUAAUAUCAUUGAUGGCAUCACAGAGCCGAAGUAAGCAUAAGAAAAAUAUAUUCUUGUAAUCGUUAGGUGUUUAUCACGAAACUCUUUACAAACUGUGCAAACUUCUCUAGUUUUAUUUGGUGUUGUCAUUAGAUGUAAAAAAUAAAAAUUAUGCAACGAAA